CCACCUUGUCUGGACAUAAAAAUCAAACCAAUCUCACUGGAGGACAUGUUUCUCAACAAAAAAGCCGAGCUGAUCUGCGAAGUCACUCCUAAAGAGGGAGCGUCUGUUGAGUGGCAGGACAAGGAUGGACAAGUAAUAGCUGCAAGCAGAAACCUGGGUGAGAGCAAUGGGAAAAGCAAAUUUGCCAUAAUUGACGUCCUGUAUGAGGAGUGGAGCAAGGGGAUAGAGUACAACUGUGUGGUUGAACAUUCAGAUUUGAUUGAGCCUAAGAUGGAACCUUAUCAAGAGAGCGCAAUUAAUAAUAGUCGCCCACCUUGUCUGGACGUAAAAAUCAAACCAAUCUCACUGGAGGACAUGUUUCUCAACAAAAAAGCCGAGCUGAUCUGCGAAGUCACUCCUAAAGAGUACGUGUCUGUUGAGUGGCAGGACAAGGAUGGACAAGUAAUACCUGCAAGCAGAAACCUGAGUGAGAGCAACGGGAAAAGCAAAUUUGCCAUAAUUGAUGUGCUGUAUGAGGAGUGGAGCAAGGGGACAGAGUACAACUGUGUGGUUGAACAUCCAGCUUUGUUCGAGCCUAAGAUGGAACCCUAUCGAAAGAGCGGAGAAGUGCCUCAGCGUCCAUCAGUUUUUCUGCUGCCUCCAGUAGAACAAACUCGAAAUAACAUGGUGACCCUGACUUGCUAUGUGAAAGACUUCAAACCCAAAGAGAUUGAGGUGUCUUGGCUUGUUGACGAUGUGGCAGCAGAUUCAAAAAUGUAUGCGUUCAAUACCACAAACCUGGUAGAAAACAACGGAGUCUACUCUGUCUAUGGCCAGCUAUCGUUCAGCCUUGAGCAGUGGAACAGCAGUGAAGCGGUGUAUAGCUGUGUAGUUUUCCAUGAAUCCGUGAUGGACACAUCCCGAGCCAUUAUGAGGUCCACAGUGAGGAGAACAGCUGAGAAAUCCAACACAGUCAACCUCAACAUUGACCUCCCUCAAACCUGCAAGGCCUAGUAGAUGUUGUGUUGUGU